AGACAGGGUCGCACUGAGUUGCUGUGGGCCUCGCUGUUGCUGAGGAACUUGCCAUCCUCCUGCCUCAGCCUCCUGAGCUGCUGGGAUUAAGGCCAACUUCCCCAGGGUCUCCUCAAGGGGUCCUUCUGCAGGCUUACCUUCCCUGAGGGCUUCUUUCCUUGAGGAUGCGGUGUGACUGCGCAGGUGUGGCUUUCCUUCUCUGUGGGACCAGGACAGCUGACCCUUCCGAGCUCUUCAUUUGGAUUCCCAUCUCUGCUCACCCAGGUGCAGGAUUGAAUCCAGCCUUGCUGUGGGUGCUCAAAAUAGCCACCAGGGGGCGCCCGCCACCAGUCCCUAGAGCCGUUGAAACCUGGCGCUGCUUCUGCCUGGUCUUGGAGGAGGAAGGAGAGGUCCUGACCCAGGGCGGUGCCCCAGACCACGGGCGCUGCUGAAUGCUGACAGAGGGCUCCCUGGAGGGAAAAAGCCCUGGUUCGUAGGGUUUGCAUACUCCUCCGUGGAAAUACCUCAGGGCCAGUUUUGAGCCACCAAAUAUUAAAUAGCAGAGAACAAGAUGUCAAUAACCUUGAGAUCACAGAUAAUAUCAGGAUGUAGCGAAAUGCGUAGGAAGUGGUGAGUUUUGAGCAUUGAUGACCUUGGUGUGUGUGUGUGUGUGUGUGUGUGUGUGUGUGUAGAACUGGGGAUGGAACCUGGGGUCUGCCUCAUGCUAGGCAAUGCUCAUGCUCUCCCACUGAGCUGCACCUCCAGCCCCCG
rnacentral:lncRNA from 1 species